UACGAAGGGGCGAGCGUUGUUCGGAAUCACUGGGCGUAAAGGGCGCGUAGGCGGCCCUCCUUGUCGCGUGUGAAAGCCCGGGCUCAACCUGGGAACGGCGCGCGAGACGGGGGGCUGGAGUUCGGGAGAGGAGCGUGGAAUUCCAGUGUAGAGGUGAAAUUCGUAAGAUAUUGGGAAGAACACCGGUGGCGAAGGCGGCGCUCUGGACCGAGACUGACGCUGAGCGC
rnacentral:rRNA from 1 species